rnacentral:rRNA from 1 species
GGCGGACGGGUGAGUAACGCGUGAGUAACCUGCCUUACACAAGGGGAUAGCCGUUGGAAACGACGAAUAAUACCCUAUGAUGUUUCUAUCUCGCAUGAGAUAUUAACCAAAGUGUUAGCGGUGUAAGAUGGACUUGCGUCUGAUUAGCUAGUUGGUGAGAAAAAAGCCCACCAAGGCAACGAUCAGUAGCCGGCUUGAGAGAGUGUACGGCCACAUUGGGACUGAGACACGGCCCAGACUCC